rnacentral:lncRNA from 1 species
UCUUCCAUGCAGUGAGCACCCCAUCUUCUUGACUCUCCUGGGCCAGUCCUAUGCUCAGCUUAGAAGCUGAAGCCUGCAAUGGCAGCUCUAACCGAGUUCCAGCUCCCGGGUUUUAAUUCAGGUCUUCUUGGUUAUAAGUUUUUCAAUGUUGCGUGCUUAAAAACAUUCUGCAAAACGUAAAAUGUCUCCUCCAUGUGGUUUGAGAUCUUAAGGAAGCUCUUAAAUAUUGCCACGAUGAUGUGAAAUGAGACGACCUUCCCAGUACCUGUCCUCCGCUGUUUUCUGCCUAAAUGAUGUUCACCCUGGUGGCAGGCUCCAAAUCAAGGGUGAAAGAUCAAAAAUAUCAAUGAUUGCUUUAAAAUAAUAAAGAGAAAAAGGCCAAGAAUGUGAGAAAAGUGGACAGGCAAGUAUGUGUAUGGAUGAAAAAGAAGAGGGAAUUAUGUAACUAUAUUUUAAUUAAAACUAUUUUUUAAAAAAG